AUAGACCAAAUAGCUAGCUAAUAACAAACCAACUCAACAAUUGGUUGGAGCCAACUCGACAAAAAGCUUUAUCUCGUGCGAAGCACGAACGGCCAAUACAAACAAGGCUAUUUGUUAUAUUAUGUUUUAGUUUUAGAUUAUUUUUAUUUUUGACAAAAAGGGGAAAUAAUACUUCCUCCGUUUCAUAAUGUAGUGCCUAUGGAUUUUUUUAAAGUCAAACAUUAUGAACUUUGACCAUAUUUAUAGAGAUAAAUAUGUACAUCUAGAAUACCACAUAAACAUCAUUGGAUACUCAUCAUGAGUUAUAUUUUCAUAGUGUACAUAUUUAGUAGUGCACAUGUAGACGGUUUUCUCUAUAAACAUGAUCAAAGUUGACAAUAUUUGACUUCAAAAAAUUAAGACAGUGACUUAAAAAUCUAUACGCAGUACAUUACGGAAUGGAAGAAGUAGUGAACUUGGGUCAUGUAUUUUGUAAAAAGCAAUUAGUUGGUGCUGCAUCGAAAAUCUAUUUCUGAGCCCAGGCUCAUCUGCACCUUGAUGAGUAAAAAAUCAAAACAUUAAACAAAUUCAAAAUAUUCCAAAUUUAUUUUGGGUGAUAGAUAAUUUGAUGUGUGUGGUUCGCUUCAAAAUUUGUACAAUUUAAACAUCUGAGCAGCUCUUGGCAAAAAAAGACAAAAUUCGGGGUCUCUAAAUAAGUUCACUGUACAUGCACCGUUUUGACCGGAUUUGUCUUUUUUACAGAAAGCUUGUCAAAUGUUCAAAUGAUACAAACAAUGGGAACGGACCUCAUGUACCAAAUUAUCUAGCACGCAAUUUUUUAAAUUUUUAGAAUUUGUUUAGUAUUUGUUUUGAUAUUUUUUACUAAACGGGUGCAGACGAGGCUGGGCACCGAAACACCGCACUCAUCCUGCAUCAUCUAGUCUCGUUCUUAUCUAGGCCGAGCUCUACCUUCAAAUGCUUACUAGGUGAUACGGUACUAAAACUCGCUGGGCUACGAGGGCAACUAGUAGCGAGCACUUCCUUG
rnacentral:lncRNA from 1 species